UCAGUAAACACGCUUUACAACAAAACCACCAUUUUUAUUACCCAGUACAACAGUGUAUUAUUCUUGUUACCAAUGUAGUUUCAGUGCAAAGUUGAAAUUCAAACAUGAUAUUAAACAGUAAGGCAAAUCUUUAUCGCGUAUAUAUUUUCUUUCAGAACAUGUUUUAUUUGAUGAUCACGUGUAUACAUAAAAAUCGAUUAAAACUUUGAGAUCACAUAAUCUCAGGUAUGCAAUAGUGUCAUGAUUUUAUCUCUCAUUUCUGUUCAUAUAUCAGAUAAGGUCGCCAGGGAUUCGCCAUCGUAAAUAUCUACAUAACAGAUAUCGUGAUUGUGUCAUGUUCCCCGUUAGAUUACAUACAUUUCAAUAACUGUGGAAGAAAAUUAAAAUGGCUCAUUCUUUCAUGAGUAAGCUUUGCACACGAACCAUUCCGGUAGAUAGUAUCCAUGAUUUGGAAAAAGGGGAUCACAUAAAAUUUCAUCGCCUUGCAUUUACCCAUCAUGCUAUUGUCACAGACGUUUUCACAGACAGAGACGAGUUUGAGGUGAUUGAAAUGGGAUUAACCAUUAACCAAAGUCCCAGAAUUGGAUUAAAAAGGUCUCUGAAGAAAAUGACAAAAUGGCGAAAAUUAAUCCCAGUAAUUUACAAAUAUCAUUACAGAAAUGUUGACCGCAUACCCCCCGAAAUAACAAUUGCAACUUUGGAAGUUCUUUUGGAAAAUAGAGAUAAGAUACCGUAUCAUCUAUUAAAAAAUAAUUGUGAACACAUCGCAACAUUCUGUGUCACCGGAAUAAGUUCUAGCCAGCAAGUAUUAAGAGGAAUUUCUGCUGCUCCUACAACGGUUGCUACAACAGCUGUUGUUCUGUUGGGAGUUCUUACGCGGAUAGGACUUUUGCUGCUUUGAUAAUGGACUGAAACGCAUAUAAGGGAACAGCUUAGCAACUCGUUUAAUCGGAUGAGAAAUGAAAUGUACGAUAUUUACCAAUUAAAUUAGAUGAUGUCAGGAGACUACUAAACAACAUGAAGAAACCAACAACAAAAUUCCUUUCGUUCUUACACACAACCCGAAAAAUCACAACAUAUUCAAAACAGCCAAACAGUUAUUCUCUAUUCUUCAAGAAUCAGAAACAUUAAAUGCCCUCAUUCAGCCCACGGAUAUACUCCACAGCAGACGUCAACCACCAAAUUUGAAAAAAAAAUUCUCACUAAAGCCAAAUCUACACCAAACCCCGAAAAAUCUUCAAAUGCGAGGAUCAACGAUGCGGUACUUGCCAAUUUAUACAAACCAGCCACUCCAUAACUUUCAAAAAACGGAAUGAACUUCAAUGUAAAUUCAACUAUGACGUGUAAAACUAAAAAUCUACUUUAUUGUAUGACGUGCCCUACAUGUGGAGAAAACUAUAUAAGUUAAACAUGAACCAAUAUGGCUGACCGUGUUUGUGUACAUAAACAACAGAUCAGAGAUCCUACAAUAAGAAACACAUCGUGUAGCGGACAUUUUGAUUCGUGCGGGGAAGGCAGUUUUUAUAUUUCCCCAUUUUACAAAGUAAAAGAGGAAAAUGAACAAUUACGCAGAGCCAAGGAAAACUAUUUCAUAAAACUGUUUAAGCCGAAACUGAACUGUUAAUAUUUUUACUACAUGUAAUUUAACAUGUACAUUUUACAUAGAAUGUCUCCUUUAAUGUACAGGGAUUCAGAGGUGCUUACAAUUUAUAGACUGAACUGUUUUAAAUGUGUGUGUAUUUUUAAAAGUGCCUAACAUUAACAUUGUAUAAUGUUCUGACGUCACAAUCAUGACUGUAUUAUGUUUAACGUUACCUACAUAACGUCACGAGGAUGACGUCAUAAUGGAACUUGUUUACAAUGUUUAAAAAUCUACUGACGAGCCCGCAGGGCGAGAGCGCUAUAGAUAAAAAUUUCAGUAUUGGA